AUUGAACGCUCGCGGGAUGCUUUACACAUGCAAGUCGAACGGCAGCGCGGACUUCGGUCUGGCGGCGAGUGGCGAACGGGUGAGUAAUGUAUCGGAACGUGCCCAGUAGCGGGGGAUAACUACGCGAAAGCGUAGCUAAUACCGCAUACGCCCUACGGGGGAAAGCAGGGGAUCGUAAGACCUUGCACUAUUGGAGCGGCCGAUAUCGGAUUAGCUAGUUGGUGAGGUAACGGCUCACCAAGGCGACGAUCCGUAGCUGGUUUGAGAGGACGACCAGCCACACUGGGACUGAGACACGGCCCAGACUCCUACGGGAGGCAGCAGUGGGGAAUUUUGGACAAUGGGGGCAACCCUGAUCCAGCCAUCCCGCGUGUGAGAUGAAGGCCUUCGGGUUGUAAAGCACUUUUGGCAGGAAAGAAACGUCGCGGGCUAAUACCCCGUGGAACUGACGGUACCUGCAGAAUAAGCACCGGCUAACUACGUG
rnacentral:rRNA from 1 species